CAGGAAAUAGUUUAAUGAAAAAAUCUUGGCUUUGGGAGCCAAGGAUGAGGGUUUGGCCCCCUUUUUCCUGA
rnacentral:tRNA from 1 species